GCCCGCUCAAGAACUCAAAGGAAUUGACGGGGCCGCACAAGCGGUGGAGUAUGUGGUUUAAUUCGAUGCAACGCGAAGACCUUACCUGGUCUUGACAUCCCGGAGACCCUUAGGAAACUAGGGGGUGCUUCCAUCUGGAAGAAUCUGGAGACAGGUGCUGCAUGGCUGUCGUCAGCUCGUGUCGUGAGAUGUUGGGUUAAGUCCCGCAACGAGCGCAACCCUUGCCUUUAGUUGCCAGCAGUUCGGCUGGGCACUCUAAAGGGACUGCCGGUGUUAAACCGGAGGAAGGUGGGGAUGACGUCAAGUCCUCAUGGCCUUUAUGACCAGGGCUACACACGUACUACAAUGGCCGAUACAAAGGGCAGCGACACUGCGAGGUGAAGCCAAUCCCGUAAAAUCGGUCUCAGUCCGGAUUGGAGUCUGCAACUCGACUCCAUGAAGUUGGAAUCGCUAGUAAUCGUGGAUCAGCAUGCCACGGUGAAUACGUUCCCGGGCCUU
rnacentral:rRNA from 1 species